AGGACAAACGCUGGCGGCGUACCUAAGACAUGCAAGUCGAACGGGCGCUUCACCUUCGGGUGGGUGUGCUAGUGGCGGACGGGUGAGUAACGCGUAGGAACCUGUCAUCAAGAGGGGGAUAACGCUGGGAAACCGGCGCUAAUACCGCAUGUGGUCAUGAAAAUGAAGAAAGCAGCAAUGCGCUUGAUGGGGGGCCUGCGUCCGAUUAGCUUGUUGGUGGGGUAAAGGCCUACCAAGGCAUCGAUCGGUAGCUGGUCUGAGAGGAUGGUCAGCCACACUGGGACUGAGACACGGCCCAGACUCCUACGGGAGGCAGCAGUUAGGAAAUUUUCCCAAUGGGCGCAAGCCUGAGGGAGUAACGCCGCGUGGAGGAUGACGGCUUUCGGGUUGUAAACUCCUUUCUGUGGGAGAGUAGAAGACGGUACCGCAGGAAUAAGCCUCGGCUAACUACGCGCCAGCAGCCGC
rnacentral:rRNA from 1 species